rnacentral:rRNA from 1 species
UACGUAGGGUGCAAGCGUUGUCCGGAAUUAUUGGGCGUAAAGAGCUCGUAGGCGGUCUGUCGCGUCUGCUGUGAAAACUCGGGGCUUAACCCCGGGCCUGCAGUGGGUACGGGCAGACUAGAGUGCGGUAGGGGAGACUGGAAUUCCUGGUGUAGCGGUGAAAUGCGCAGAUAUCAGGAGGAACACCGGUGGCGAAGGCGGCUCUCUGGGCCUUACCUGACGCUGAGGAGCGAAAGCGUGGGUAGCGAACAGG